rnacentral:lncRNA from 1 species
GGCCUUGCUCUUAUGUCAUCUGAUUAAAGGUUUCAUAGACCAAAGAUAACCAUCCAACCUGUUGGAAUACUGAAACAAUUGCUGCCUUCUGUCCACACACCACAUACAAUAUGUGGAUUUCCUAAAUUCUGCAAAAAGAUUUGGAAGCUGAUUAAGCAAUACUGGAACUCCCUCUUCUCCAGAAGAGACAUCCUGGCCUCCAUGCAGAGGAAUGUGUGGAUGGACAUAUAUUUAAGGAAGACACUAAACCAGAAACUACUACAUUACACCCUCUUAGAAGACUUCUAAUAUUGUUGUCAUGCCUACCACAGACAUUCAGAUGAUGUGUAUUCUUGAUUGUGAUUUCAUGUUUGGAGCUGAUGAAGGAACACAGGAGAUGAACAUAUGCCUGAGAAGAAGAACUAGUGUAGAACUGUCAGCCAGGAUUUUGAUGAGUGCUCAGACUGCUUCCUGAUCCAGCACCACAUUUACUACAGGGAACAGAUGCUCUAGUCUCUGAUGAGGAGUUGCUAGCUGUUAGGAAGAACCUGGAAUGGGCUCCACUGCAUGAUGUUUGAAGUCUCCAGAGCAGCAAGGGGAGUGGGGAGUAGAACUCAUCAUCUUUAGGUCACUCAUCAUCG